rnacentral:lncRNA from 1 species
GGUGACAAACGCUGAAGGUAUGACAAUUAGAAGGUGAUUGGUGACUGUUGAGACAGUUUCUGGGUAGAGUGAGUGGACUUUUGAGUACAGUGGGUUGAGAAAUUACUAGGAAAUGAGGAAUCUGAGCCAUUGUGUGUUGAUUAUGGUUUCAGGAGAGAAAGAGUGGAGAAGUGUAUAGCACUUGAAACACUAGUAUGAUUUUUUUUUAACAGAAAUGAGUCUAUGAAAGGGAG